CAGUCGCCACGGUAAUACAGAGGGUGCAAGCGUUAAUCGGAAUUACUGGGCGUAAAGCGCGCGUAGGUGGUUCGCCAAGUUGGAUGUGAAAUCCCCGGGCUCAACCUGGGAACUGCAUCCAAAACUGGCGAGCUAGAGUAUGGUAGAGGGUGGUGGAAUUUCCUGUGUAGCGGUGAAAUGCGUAGAUAUAGGAAGGAACAUCAGUGGCGAAGGCGACCACCUGGACUGAUACUGACACUGAGGUGCGAAAGCGUGGGGAGCAAACAGGAUUAGAUACCCCGGUAGUCCCUGUCUCUUAUAC
rnacentral:rRNA from 1 species